rnacentral:rRNA from 1 species
AACGAACGCUGGCGGCAGGCUUAACACAUGCAAGUCGAACGGACGUAGCAAUACGUUAGUGGCGGACGGGUGAGUAACGCGUGGGAAUAUGCCCUUUAGUUCGGAAUAACUCAGGGAAACUUGAGCUAAUACCGGAUAAUCCCGAGAGGGGAAAGAUUUAUCGCUGAAGGAGUAGCCCGCGUCUGAUUAGCUAGUUGGUGAGGUAAUGGCUCACCAAGGCGACGAUCAGUAGCUGGUCUGAGAGGAUGAUCAGCCACACUGGGACUGAGACACGGCCCAGACUCCUACGGGAGGCAGCAGUGGGGAAUAUUGGACAAUGGGGGCAACCCUGAUCCAGCCAUGCCGCGUGAGUGAUGAAGGCCUUAGGGUUGUAAAACUCUUUCGUCCGGGAAGAUAAUGACUGUACCGGAAGAAUAAGCCCCGGCUAACUUCGUGCCAGCAGCCGCAGUAA